UACGUAGGUGGCAAGCGUUGUCCGGAUUUAUUGGGCGUAAAGAGCGCGCAGGCGGUUCGUUAAGUCCGAGGUGAAAUCUCCCGGCUCAACUGGGAGGGGUCUUCGGAUACUGGCGGACUUGAGGAGUGCAGAGGUGAGUGGAAUUCUGGGUGUAGUGGUGAAAUGCGUAGAUAUCCAGAGGAACACCAGCGGCGAAGGCGGCUCACUGGGCACCACCUGACGCUGAGGCGCGAAAGCGUGGGGAGCAAACAGG
rnacentral:rRNA from 1 species